rnacentral:rRNA from 1 species
GCGCACGCUGGCGGCAGGCCUCACACCUGCCAGUCGCACGAACCUUUCGGGGUUAGUGGCGGACGGGUGAGUAACACGUGGGAACGUGCCUUUAGGUUCGGAAUAACUCAGGGAAACUUGUGCUAAUACCGAAUGUGCCCUUCGGGGGAAAGAUUUAUCGCCUUUAGAGCGGCCCGCGUCUGAUUAGCUAGUUGGUUGAGGUAAUGGCUCACCAAGGCGACGAUCAGUAGCUGGUCUGAGAGGAUGAUCAGCCACAUUGGGACUGAGACACGGCCCAAACUCCUACGGGAGGCAGCAGUGGGGAAUCUUGCGCAAUGGGCGAAAGCCUGACGCAGCCAUGCCGCGUGAAUGAUGAAGGUCUUAGGAUUGUAAAAUUCUUUCACCGGGGACGAUAAUGACGGUACCCGGAGAAGAAGCCCCGGCUAACUUCGUG